AGUGAACGCUGGCGGCGUGCUUAACACAUGCAAGUCGAACGAGAACGGGUUAUAGCUUGCUAUAAUUGUCAGCUAAGUGGCGCACGGGUGAGUAAUGUAUAGGUAAUAUGCCUCUUACUAAGGGAUAACAAAUGGAAACGUUUGCUAAUACCUUAUACUCCUUAUUAACAUAAGUUAAUAAGGAAAGAUUUAUUGGUAAGAGAUUAGCCUGUAUUGUAUCAGUUAGUUGGUGGGGUAAUGGCUUACCAAGACUAUGACACAUAACUGGUUUGAGAGGAUGAUCAGUCACACUGGAACUGAGACACGGUCCAGACUCCUACGGGAGGCAGCAGGGGGGAAUAUUGCACAAUGGACGAAAGUCUGAUGCAGCAACGCCGCGUGGAGGAUGACACAUUUCGGUGCGUAAACUCCUUUUAUAUGAGAAGAUAAUGACGGUAUUAUAUGAAUAAGCACCGGCUAACUCCGUGCCAGCAGCCGCGGUAA
rnacentral:rRNA from 1 species